AGAUGGCCCGGGGGUUGGCCUGGCUGGGGGUGCGUCUGUACCUUGUCUUUGGGGUUCCUCCUUGUGGGACCGGUUCUUGCCGAGCUUCAUGGCGGAGAACACACUUCUCCCAGCUCUGUGAGGCGAGCCGCCAGAAUGAGAUGGAGGGAGAUGGACGCCGGGAGGAAGACACACAAACACAGGAGAGCAAAACCCGAGACAACACCGAUCCUGGGAGGGACAUACGCUUCUCUUCAUUCAACCCAAGAAGAGACUGAGGCUCAGAGCUAGAGUUGAAGCACACUGCUCCUGCCCCCUCUGCCAGAACGGCUACGUCUUGAGUCCUGUGGGAUUGCACUUCUCUGUCAGUGGCGAUCCCAUCCUGACCGUUCGGAACUUCAGUGAAAAGUUCCCAGGGCCUGCACUUGUAGGUGUACGUAUGGGCCGCGUGCCAACGCAGUGUGCAGAUGGGGGUGCCAUCUGUGAAGAGCCCCACAGACGGUGCCCAGGCUUACAGAGAAGGCGCUCACUCACAAAUGGUCUUAGCAUCAACGCAUUUGGGAAGAGGCUGCUGUGAAAGUUAAUGACUGGUAAUGAAACAUCACACAGGUCAAUGACUUGCGGCUUUCUGACGCUGGUCCCGAGGACCCACCCAAGUGGAAAAGGGCCUGGGGCUUCCCCUGGGCAGUUAUGGCCCUUGAUUUUGAAAGUCACUUUAUUUCUUAAAACAAACGUAUUUGGAAGCAGAGAUUGAGACUUUAAAAAAAAAACAACUAUACUAUCCUACAAUUCUCUCCCUGAAAUCAAUCAAAGGAGAAGCCCCUCUUCCCAGACCCUGCCUCACUAACCAUCUCCGGUGGACAGGUAUACAGGCGGUACUCCUGUGUGCCUGGGGGUAUCUCAAAAUGAAGAUUUAUCCCUUAAUGAAAAAUGUGGAACGUGUAGGGUGAAUGUAAUGUCCAGAAUUCGUACGAAUUUUGUUCUUCAGUUCAUCUGGACAGUGUGCACUAGAGCGUGAUGGCCUCAGCUCUCCCUGCCCUUUGGAAUUUUCUGGUCGAUGACACAUCAGAAGUUGACCAUAGAAACAGUCUCUUCUGCCUAGUGCUGCACCGCUUCCCAGAAACGGCGUGCCUGCUUCUCUCGGCCAAGGGUAAAGGUUAGUUUUGAAAUAAAUGUUAAUUUAGUCAGGGAUGUUCGAAGAUCAUCGGCUUGUAUCAAAGACUUAGAUUUCCAAAAUGUGUAAUUCUUUGAUGAGGUUGCUGGUACGCAGGGGUCCUGAGUGUUUGUUCUUGUUUUUAAAUAAAAUGCGGCAGCUGG